rnacentral:ncRNA from 1 species
AGCACUCUUUCAUUUUUAUGAAAGUGCUGGCAUAUGUAAGUCCGACGUGCCGCUCCCGGCACGGCCCCCCGAGAAAUUGGGCUUUGGGAUUAC